rnacentral:misc_RNA from 1 species
GCUUUGCGGCUGGAUCCCCUCCUUUCUAAGGAUGCCGCAUCGUCGCCGGCUUCGCGCACGCGAGGCCAAACGCGACCUUGGGCAGCUUAGACCAACGAUCAUGGCCAUGACGGCCAUGGCUCGUGUCGCCGUCCACGUAUCCCUUCUAGGUCUCGAGACCGAGGACCGGUUUCUUGCGCGACCGCCCGGUAAAUGGGUGGAUUUCGUAAGGAAGGUCUGGCAUCUGGUCCCGGUAUGGGCCUGUAGCUCAGUUGGUUAGAGCGCACCCCUGAUAAGGGUGAGGUCGGUAGUUCAAAUCUACCCAGGCCCACCAUAUCGGCGUGCGCCGAUCCGGCGGCUUGGGUCUCUAUCGGGGGCGUAGCUCAGCUGGGAGAGCGAUAGCUUUGCAAGCUAUAGGUCACCGGUUCGAUCCCGGUCGCCUCCACCAUUCCGGUCGCGAUUUGGGUCCCUCGUGCUCGAGACGGCAAGACAGAGAUCCGCUAUCCGCGCGGUGACGUGCUACGCGGAUAGCAGAUCCCUGCCGGGGGUCUUGACGACAGCUCUUUGACAUUGUGGAUCGGGCAAGAUGUUGUUCCCGUAGGGAGCACACGGUGAGAUGUGAUUGGCACAGCGCCUCAGCUGCGCCCGAUCACGGCAUGCGUGGCCUCUGCGAGAGACAUCAUCACAUCAAUCUGACCUCUUCCGUGACGGUUGGGAUGCUUCGGCAUGCCGUCGUCACACAGCUGAGAUUUGGUUUCCGGCGAACGCUGUUCUCCGGAAACUAGUGAGUUCAAGCGCAAAGGAAGGGCAUUUGGUGGAUGCCUUGGCACCGAGAGGCGAUGAAGGACGUGGCACUCUGCGAUAAGCCACGGGGAAGCGAGAGCAGCUUUUGAUCCGUGGAUUUCCGAAUGGGGAAACCCGGAAGC